UGCUUUACGGGAGCUGUGUUUUUUCUGGCUUCUGGAUAACCAAUAAGGGGUUUGCUGUUAGUCCAGCCUGCUUCAGGGAGCGAAGCAUGGCCGCAACUUGGGCCAGAUGUCGUUCCCAGGUUCAACUGUAGAUGACUACAUCAUCUAAAUAGGCUGUGGCUUACAAGUUCAAAACCUGGUCCAUAAGACCAGGUUCCCCGGGGCCGUCUCCCAUACAAGAGCUAGAAUGGCGAGAACCCAGUAGAGGAUUGUGGGACUUCCCGAAUGGCAAACAGGAGUGGAGAGGGGAUCAGUUGAUCCCAAUUAAAAAGCUCUUCUGGUAUAAACCUUCUCAA